rnacentral:rRNA from 1 species
AACGCGAAGAACCUUACCGGGGCUUGACAUCCUGCGCUAUCCUAGGAGACUAGGUUUCCGGGCAACCGGACGCAGAGACAGGUGCUGCAUGGCUGUCGUCAGCUCGUGCCGUGAGGUGUUGGGUUAAGUCCCGCAACGAGCGCAACCCUUGCCGUGUGUUGGUCGCAAGAUCUCUCACGCGGGACCGCCGGUGACAAGCCGGAGGAAGGUGGGGAUGACGUCAAGUCAGCAUGGCCCUUACGUCCCGGGCUACACACGUGCUACAAUGCGCGCCACAAAGCGUUGCGAACCCGCGAGGGGGAGCUAAUCGCAAAAAAGCGCGCUCAGUUCGGAUUGCAGUCUGCAACUCGACUGCAUGAAGCCGGAAUCGCUAGUAAUGGCGCAUCAGAACGGCGCCGUGAAUACGUUCCCGGGCCUUGUACACACCGCAUAC